GACGAACGCUGGCGGCGUGCCUAAUACAUGCCAGUCGAACGAAAGCGCCCUGUUCUUGCGCGGUGCUAGCGAGGGGCGAACGGGUGUGAAACACGUGUGUAACCUGCCCGUCAGAGGGGGAUAACAUGCGGAAACGGAUGCUUAAACCGCAUGAGUCUUCGCACCGCAGGGGGGGAUGGGGAAUAUAGGCGCAAGGUUCUGCUGAUGGGUGUACUCGCGGUGCAGUAGGUGGUUGGGGAGGUAACGGCUCACCAAGGCCGUGAUGCAGAGACGAACUGAGGGAGUGGUAGGCCACAUUGGGGCUGAGACACCGCCCAAACGCCUAAGGGACGCCGCAGUCGGGAAUCUGAGGCAAUAGUGGCGAGUCUGACGGAGCGACGCCGAGUGAGUGAAGAAGGUUUUCGGAUCGUAAAGAUCUGUUGUUAGAGAAGAAUAGGUGCUAGCGUAAAUGAUGGCUGCUUGACGGUAACUAAUAAGAAAGCAACGGCUAACUACGUG
rnacentral:rRNA from 1 species